rnacentral:tRNA from 1 species
UGGGCUAUCGCCAAGCGGUAAGGCACAGGAUUUUGAUUCCUGUAUUCCCUGGUUCGAAUCCAGGUAGCCUAA